rnacentral:lncRNA from 1 species
UCCCACGAACGGUGUUAACAGGAGAAGAAAACGGUGCUUGUCCCGUCUAUAGCGAUCUCUCCAACCAAACAAAAAAUAGGAUCAUCCCAUCCCAUUCAACCAAACAAGAAAUGGGAUCAUCCCAUCCCGAAAAACUGGAACGGGACCGUCCCGUUCUACAUUGUCUCCCAACCAAACGCACCCUAAACUCCGCGACAGGUCAUCCUCUCCCGUCUGCUUCUAGAAACCGGAUCGUGCGUGACGAUCGUGCUUGCGUGGUCGCGCGCCACUGGACUCGAGCAGCCUGCCCAGUCCCAUGCCAUGACUCCGACGCAAACGCCUAAAAAACUUGCAAAUCCUUGACCCUUCGUGCAUGUUUCUGUAGUUUUUCUUUUUUAAAAACAGGGAAGGAAUUCGGCCUGAUGGGGGGUAACAGACUGACAGUGCGACGAAAUGUUUUCAGGCGUUCAGGUGUAACCAUCACUUCAUCAGAGCGUGGCGCGGCAGCCGGCUGACGACGAGGAGGGGAGUUUUCUUGGCACCGUGACGAAGAAAUAAAAGCAUUGGAUUAGGUGAAGGAUUGAUGGCAGAUGACUGGUGUGGUGUGGCACUAGUCCAUUUUUCUAGCCAUCGAGGUCGAUGCAGUUUUUUUUUUCGAAAAUUGGUCGAUGCAGUUUUCAUCGUGAACUUUGGUAUGGCCAUGAUGAGUGAUGGCUGAUACGGGGUGCGGGCGGCAUCAAUUCCUCACAGUGGCAGUACUCGCCAGGCAAUGGACGUGCAGUACUGUGCGGAAUUGAAUCCGCGAAAAAGAGAUGCCGAACUGGAGGCGCUGUCCUUGGUGGCGUGAGUUUCAGAGCUUUGGAUGGCUGCAUGGAUGAUGACCCUGACCGACCCCCCACCCCACAGAACCACACCGUGGAGGCGUGAAUCGACCACGCCAUAUCGCACAGUGGAUUUGAUAAAAAGAAAUAUCACGUGUCAGCAACACGAGUGGCUUUGUGCUUGGAUUUGAUCUGUCCGUGGAUGUGGAUGCAACCAUGCACGACCCAGUGAUACGAGGUGCUAAACUUUAACAGUGUCACAUCGGAUGUUUGGAUGCUAAUUAGGAGGACUAAACAUGAGCUAAUUAUAAAACUAAUUGCAGAACCUUGUGCUAAUUCGCGAGACGAAUCUAUUAAGCCUAAUUAAUCCAUCAUUAGCAAAUGGUUACUGUAGCACCACAUUGUCAAAUCAUGGACUAAUUAGGCUUAAUAGAUUCGUCUCGC